rnacentral:pre_miRNA from 1 species
UUUAAGUGUAACUGUGCUUUUUUUUUUCUCCAAAGUUCUGACCGUCUAUCUUAUUUGAAAUUUUUUAUGAUUAGUAUUUUUACUAUUGUUAGAUGAUAAAAUAUGAAUAAUACUUUAUAUGUGACUUAUUUUUUUUAUAAAUUUUUAAAUAAGAGGAACGGUCAAACAUUAUAUAUAGAAACCCACACACUUAAA